UACGGGGGGGGCAAGCGUUGUUCGGAAUUACUGGGCGUAAAGGGUUCGUAGGUGGCUUGCUAAGUCAGACGUGAAAUCCCUCAGCUUAACUGGGGAACUGCGUCUGAGACUGGCAAGCUCGAGUGCAGGAGAGGAACGCAGAAUUCCAGGUGUAGCGGUGAAAUGCGUAGAUAUCUGGAGGAAUACCGGUGGCGAAGGCGGCGUUCUGGACUGCAACUGACACUGAGUGAACGAAAGCCAGGGGAGCAAACGAG
rnacentral:rRNA from 1 species